rnacentral:rRNA from 1 species
UACGGAGGGUGCGAGCGUUGUCCGGAAUCACUGGGCGUAAAGGGCGCGUAGGCGGCGCGGGGAGUCAACGGUGAAAGCUCGGCGCUCAACGCCGAGUCGGCCGUCGAUACUCCCGUGCUCGAGCACUGUAGAGGCAGGUGGAAUUCCGGGUGUAGCGGUGGAAUGCGUAGAGAUCCGGAAGAACACCGGUGGCGAAGGCGGCCUGCUGGGCAGUAGCUGACGCUGAGGCGCGACAGCGUGGGGAGCAAACGGG